CCUACCUCAGCCUCCUGAGUGCGUGUGUCACCAGGCCAGACCUUACUCUCUCCCACGUCUCUUGAGUCUAGUGUUUUAAAGUCUUCCUGCUCAUUGGAAAGAAGCAGAGCAGCAGACCCCAGCGGGAAGCUGGGAAGAUACAGAGCCCAGGCCUCACUUCACGUUGCCCCAGGAUGUCUGCCCCCACCUGUGGAUUCCACCCCAUCCCUACCCCAUCUUCUAACCAUGUCCUUUGUUCUCUUAGAAUUAAAAGGAAAAUCUUACUGCUGCUACCAGGGUGGCUUCAUGACCAGGUUCCUAACGUAGGGAACAGUAACGCUGUGAAGAUGCUACAGGAAAAAGAUGGGUUUGUGAACAGUAGCACCAGUGAGCAGGUCCCUUAUGUGGACCCAGUGGUUACAGAGAUAAAAGAAGUUUUUCACCCAGAAGGGCGCAAGCCUGCAGGUGGCAGGAAAGACAGGAACACAGGAACCCAGGACAUGAAAGCGCCCCUAUUCGUCAGGAGCCCCGAGGUGUACAUCCCCAACCUCAGCACCGGGUAUAAACCACAGAUCUCAAGCUUUCUCCCAGAGGGAAAUCAUCUCAACAGCAGCGGUGAAACCGAUCCAUCAGCCCCGAAGCCAGCAGCAGACCCCUUUGACCCAGGAAAGAAUGCCAGGGUUAGAAAAUACCCUCGGUUUGCCUUUCCAGGCGCCAGUGUGAGUUCCCUGAGCAGCACACUCAUCCUGGAAGAAUUAAGUCUUAUUCUCACCCAAGGCGACAGCGGGCCUCCUGACAUGCCCAACUCGGCAGCAGGCAGAAGCGCCAUGCUUCUGGAAGACGAUUUGCCCAGCGAUACCAUCCCAGAGCAGACCGUACUGCCGGAUGACUUUGUCGCCUGCCUGGGGAUCGUGAACAAGGAGCUGCCUUCUAUUAACGCUUACUUUCCACAAAACAUUUUGGAAGAUCACUUCAAUAGGAUUUCACUCUUGGAAAAGCAGAGCGCGUAGCCAGAGUGCAGCAGAGAAAGCAGCGUUGGUGUCAGAAGUUGUCUCUUCCCCUCGGUAGAAAUGGCAUCCUGCCUCCGAGAUCCCGAAGUGGGACUUACUUCACGGUCACACACACCAAAAAAAAAACAGCAUUAGUAGGGAAACCAACGCAUUUAUUAAAAAACACCAAACCACACUACUUCCUCUUCAGCCCUUCCUCCCUGAAAGGUACAGAGUAGCUCUGCUGUGUGGAGGAAGGAUAAAUAGCACAAGAUGUGCGGCAGUGAAAUAAACGCCAAAAACCAGAAUAGCAGCAUCUGCUUGCAAAGGGAAAAGUGAGUUGAACUUUCCUCUUCGCACUUCUAAUUCUCUCGAGUAGCUUAAAAUUAGCUCUGCAGAGCAAACUCAGUAAAAGAUGAAAGAAGGAGGCCCGUGAAUUCGUCUCAUUUGCAGUCACAUCUCUUCCUCUGCUUUCUGUUUGGGUGUUAGAGGUUUGGUCUGGCUGUGUUUGGUCCAUGAGGGGUAAAACAAUGAAGCUAUGAAUUCCCUCUCUUCGUUCAAGUCAACAGCGGUGCCACCAAGCUCCUGUGGCAUCACUGGUGUGUGAUCUAAACUCACGGAAUCCAGGAGAGGUGGCAGAUGUAGGAUCAGCUCGAUGUGAUUGUUCCUGAUAUCAUCUGUUGUGUAGAUUCCUCAGAAACCUCCUUAGAGCAGAGCGUACCAGGAGCAGCCAGGCAAAGGACCUGACACUGCAGACAUCGCUAGCCAAUCACUGCACACCGUGAUUUCCUUUUCAUCAUUCUGUUCGUUAGAAUGUAUGUAUCCUGCAAGGAAUCUGUUUCACAUCCCUAAUGCAAUGUUAAGGUUAAAAUAUCUUGCUUUCUAUCAAGUGCAUUUGCCUCCUUCUUCUCCAAAGAGAGGAUUGUAAUGAAACAAAGAGGCAAGGAGUACUGGAGCCAGAAAGAACCAAACUGAGAUUCAUCUUUGUUGUUUAAUAACCUAGUGUGGGCAUCUGGUAAUAUGGGAAUAAUGGUUUUAUGGUGCAUCUCACCAUGUCUGUAAUUUGUCACUCAAUGUAACUGCUUUUGUAGCCGGGCAUGAUGCACAGGCCUGUAAUCCCAGCAACAUUCUCGAGGCUGAGGCAGGAGGAUUGCCAAGAGUUCGAGGCCAGCCUGGGUUACAUAGACCUUGUCUCAGAAAAAACAAAACAAAUAUAAAGCUUCCACCAGGCUGGAAGGAGCACAGCACUGCUCGAGCUCUGUCGGUCACCGAAGAGACCAGGCCAAGAGACCAGACCAAUCUGUUAGCCUUUUGGUCCCAGUGGGCCAGAAAUUGUGCUUGGCCCCUGCCCUAAUCAUGGGGAAAUUUCAGCUGCUUCACCCAGUGCCUGGAAGCCAGGCUUUUCUUUCCAUUUAACUUGAACUCACCGGACCACUGAAAACCUUGUGACCAGCAAGGCCCUUGGGAGAUUAUGAAUGUGAACACAGCCAAGUCCCUGCAGCUGUGGGCUUGUAUCCUGGGGGCGAGAGGCAUCCUGUAGGGUAGGGCGGGCAAGGGCUUCAAAGACCUCGCAGUGGGGAAGUGGUCGGAUGGGAGUGGAGAGGGCCAGCGAGAAACAAAGGAGAAAUAACAGACAGCAGCAUGUGCUGGGUGUGCGAGGCGAGGUGGGUAAUGCGGCAGAGAGCAGCCCGCCUUGCACUGGUGACCAGGGAAACCCAUUUGCUGACAUAGCCCCUGAAUCUCAGCAAGCCACACCCUCCCGUAGGCCUCCACUGCCUCAGGCCCUGGCCUCCUGCAGCUGGCGUUUGCAUGCUGUCUGCAUCUCCCCAGCAUCUGAAAUGGGAUGUGAGAGGGGAGAAGACCCAAGCAUGCUACUGUGGGUGCCCUGGGCUCGCUGUUUCCCUUCCCUGUGCACCCCAGGGGGCACCUUGCCUUUGACAUCCAGUUGAUGCCAUGCCGCAGUCGAAGAGGGGAAAGGUUUUUCCAAAAGCAAUCUCAGCCACUGAUCUGUAAUCUCACUCCAAAUCCCAGCGGCCAGCACAGGAGAGGACAGAGGCGUCCUCUGCCUUCUCACCUGCUCCUUUGCCGAGUCCCUGACAGCUCAGAGCUCAGGAUUGCAGCUCAUUCUGCAGCUCCGUGCAGAGCUGCUAGGUCAGGCCCCAGCCGCCCCCAAGGCCCUGCAGGAUUGGGUCAGAGGGGCCUCGUCUGCUACUGGACACAGAGCUUUGUGUACUGUUACUUCGCUGCUCUCCAAUCACCACACCCUAAAUGUCCAGGCUGACUUCAAGUUUAUGUCCUUUUGGGAUCACUAACAAUAAAAUACUGCAUGGCAAGCAUAAUUAAAUUUCAUAAACUGAGAGACAGUUGACUCCCUCGGCGGCCUCUCUCUUUAUGAAGUAAUUACGCCACUCGCAGGAGGUUAUGUUUUAAUGGGAAAUGUUUCCCACUCGGCAGACACCCGGAUUUAAAAUAAAAGAAAUGAUUAAAAACAAUUUGCGGGCCUCCCUUGGGGAAAAGCAUGAACCCAAUGUAAAAUACUUGUCCUCUGAUUCGUGGAGCAGGUUACGGCUGCUGCGGGUAAGGGAAUUACAGGAAUGCUAAUGCAGGUUUGAUAGAGUGCUGUUACGUUCUUCCCAGCGCUAAGAUCACACCAUUAAACCCAAUUAAUGUCUCACAUGAGGCUCCCUUAGCCAUUUUGCUAAUUUCACUUUUCAGCUUAACUUGUGAUCACCACCCUCUGUCUUUCAGAAUUUCCAUCAGUUUUCUGAAGAUGUGUUUAUUCCCUUUAGGCUUAUGUUCAGAAUACAAAGUAUCACCUAAUUCUCAUAAUUAGCAUUUAGCAACACAUUAAGGACUCAACAGUACAGGGUCCAUUUGUAUUUAGGGCAGUCAAAGUAUACUGGCCUAGCUAAGAAAGACAAAAACAGCCUAUUAUCUCAGCAUUCGAGAGACUAAGGCAGGAAGAUUGUUGCAAGUUUGAAACGAGCCUGGGCUACAAAGUGAGCUCAAGGCCUGCCUGAACUGCAUAGCAAGAUGCUGUCUCAAAAAAAAUAAAAAUAAAAAUAAAAAUAAAAACAAGAAAGCAAGCAGCACCCCCACACACACCUGCCAAAAAAAAAAACCCUCUAAGCUAAAUGGCUGUGUCGUAGAAACCUAUAUCUUUUCUGCCACUGUUUCAAAAAUUCCAAGAAAACAAAAGUGCCAUCUCUAACCACGAAGGUGAACCUAAAAUUAGGGCCUCUGCAGAGCACAGGAAGGAAAUUGUGAACAGGCAAGCGCCAGGACUGCGCGUGAGAGCCGGAAGUCAGUACCCCGCAGCUCUUCCCCAGCAGCUCCUGCAGCCUGAGGAGGUCUCAGCCCGGCGCUCACCAGGAGGAACAUGGCAGUGGCUCACGGAGAAAGCGCUUCAGUUUAACCCGCGUGUUAUUUGUGAAAAUGCGUUUUAAAAACUGAUCAUGGUAACAGUGGCGUGGAUGGGGGAAGUGUGGAUGCCCCUCCACACCCUCCUGCAUCCCACCCUGUCGAUACAGUCUGGACCUCAGUCACCGUUGUGUUUUUUUAAUUUAAAUGAUGAAAACGUAGUAUUGUUCUGUGACUGGAUUUUUCUCUUGGAAAUGUUCACAUUUUAUUAUGUGUGGCUGUUCUUUAUUGUUUUAGACAAAUGCAUGGCAUUCCAUGGAACACAUGCAUCCUGGUGCAUGUAAUAGGCACCCAGGGGUCCCAGGUUUCACUAUUACACCUAUUCCAUAGUAAUCUUAUAUGCAGUGUAUCACCGUUAUCAAUGGGAAUUUUGUAAAGGGG
ensembl:lincRNA